CUGAGCUGCCUGUGGGUGACUCAGCAGUGCCAGCGCCUGCCCCAGACUGAUAAACCGCAGGGAGCAACCUCCUGAAGCUGCUGCUCACAUUCUCUCCUUUCAUCUCACUGAAGCCUUACAGCCAAAAAUGUUCUGAAGGGGUCUGAAGCUCAGAGAACUGCAGUGACAGCCAAAGAUCACACAGAAUCGGUUCCCGCGCGCAGCUACCAGGGGUGAGGAGCGGAUGAGCGAUGGAAGACAGGUGGCAGAAAGGAGUAGAAACGAAAUAAGGGUGCUGAUGAAAGAUGUGGCCGGUAGAUGGCAGCAGUGUCCGUGAAAUGAGCCUCGCCUCUGCACGCUUCACCUAAAUUUCUCCCAGGC